UAUGCCUCUCACCUGGCAGAGCAGGCUGGACGUUGGAAAGACCCAACUCACAGAACAGUGUUUCAUCCAAACUUUUCAGGUUGGGUCUCGAACAACAUGGGGUGGAGUUUACUCGGACAAAGUCUUCCACGAACAAAGAUUUUGCAGCUAUGGCAG